GAUGAACGCUGGCGGCGUGCCUAAUACAUGCAAGUCGAGCGAACGGACGAGAAGCUUGCUUUUCUGAUGUUAGCGGCGGACGGGGGAGUAACACGUGGAUAACCUACCUAUAAGACUGGGAUAACUUCGGGAAACCGGAGCUAAUACCGGAUAAUAUUUUGAACCGCAUGGUUCAAAAGUGAAAGACGGUCUUGCUGUCACUUAUAGAUGGAUCCGCGCUGCAUUAGCUAGUUGGUAAGGUAACGGCUUACCAAGGCAACGAUGCAUAGCCGACCUGAGAGGGUGAUCGGCCACACUGGAACUGAGACACGGUCCAGACUCCUACGGGAGGCAGCAGUAGGGAAUCUUCCGCAAUGGGCGCAAGCCUGACGGAGCAACGCCGCGUGAGUGAUGAAGGUCUUCGGAUCGUAAAACUCUUUUAGUAGGGAAGAACAUAUGUGUAAUUAACUGUGCACAUCUUGACGUUACCUGAUCAGAAAGCCCCGGCUAACUACGUG
rnacentral:rRNA from 1 species